rnacentral:lncRNA from 1 species
ACCACUGGCAUCGAAAAAUCGAAGAAAAAUGGGCAAAAUAGAUGUUUCUUCUGCAACAAAAUUCGACGACUCCGGUCGCCGGCGAGCGUGCACACCGGCACAGAAAGGAAAAGGGAGAAGAGAGGGAGGAGGAGGCUCACCUUCGACGUCGGUGAGGCUUUUCGAUGAGAAAUUGGAUGGGCACAGGUCGGAUCUCCACGGUGGUUUUCCGACGAUUGCUGCCGACUGGGCUUAAGAUCUUCGGUG